CUCGUCGUUUCCGUCAGUGCUAUCGCCAUUGCAAUCAGCGGACCGUCGAUCGUGCGUUGAGAGGAGCAGCUGCGGGUUUCAGUAUGACGGGGUGCAGCGCACCACACUGCACAAACCGCACGGAAGGCGGUAAAGCGCUCUACGCGGUGCCAUGCCGACGGACAGACGUGCGCCGGCGACUCGUGUGGCUUCUGCGUAUGGGUCGAGACCGGCCGGCUCCGAAAGGUACGAGGAUAUGCGAGGACCACUUCACAAAAGAUCAGUUUGAGCAUGGCCUGCAAGAAAGGAAACGUUUGAAGCCAGACGCGGUCCCUAGCAUCUUUUCCUGUGAGUUCUCACCGCAUAGCCACUUCUAUUCGCUUGUUAGUGCUCUUGUAGUGUGGGAUGAAAAAAAAGCUGUGGUGGACCUCCAGGCCCGCCAGCGUUUGCAGAAACCCACAAUGCACUCACGCCAUCACUUUACUGUGAUUUCUUUCUCAACAUCCUUUUUCUUUGAGAUAUUAACUUAGUAGCAAUAUGGUGUGCACUCUAUGCAGGCACACCAGUGUGUUUGAUAGCACAGCUAUAAAAUAGUCUCCUGCAGCACAUUGUAUACGUGAACGAUCAGCACUGUAAAUUAGGCUUAUUAGUACAAAUUCAUCUUUGACGUCUGGACACGUAGCAGAACAAUAUAGAACAAAAGUGGACAAAUUACGGGCCGCUAGUUAUCAGUCCUAUUCUCUUUGUAUUCUGCUUGGCACCUGGAACAUCUCGAGAACAGUGUAUUGUAAUUACUUGAAAGUAAACAAUAGUUGUGAUGUGUGCUUGUCAAUUAUAAGGAACACCUCAG